rnacentral:rRNA from 1 species
UGGGGAAUUUUGCACAAUGGGGGAAACCCUGAUGCAGCGACGCCGCGUGAUUUAGAAGGCCUUCGGGUUGUAAAAAUCUUUUCUAUGGGAAGAAAAUGACAGUACCAUAGGAAUAAGGACCGGCUAAUUACGUGCCAGCAGCCGCGGUAAUACGUAAGGUCCGAGCGUUGUCCGGAAUCAUUGGGCGUAAAGGGUACGUAGGCGGGUAAGCAAGUUAGAAGUGAAAUCCUAUAGCUCAACUAUAGUAAGCUUUUAAAACUGCUCAUCUUGAAGUAUGGAAGGGAAAGUGGAAUUCCUAGUGUAGCGGUGAAAUGCGCAGAUAUUAGGGGGGAUACCGGUGGCGAAGGCGACUUUCUGGCCAUAACCUGACGCUGAGGUACGAAAGCGUGGGUAGCAAACAGG